AUGGUGAAGCUGAGCCAAGUAGCCAAACAGAGGCUGCAGCAGCUCUUCAAGGGCGGCCAGUUUGCCAUCCGCUGGGGCUUUAUUCCUCUCAUGAUUUACCUGGGAUUUAUGAGGGGUGCAGAUCCUGGAAUGCCUAAACCGUCAGUUUUAAGCCUACUUUGGGGAUAAAGGACUGUUUGGUUAUCUGGAUUUGGACGCAAUCCAACAUGGAAGGUGUAUACUCCAGCUGGAUAAGAA